GCUCCAUCAGAUCAACUUCACCACCAACAUGUUCUCUGUAGCUCUGCUGCUGCUUCUGGCUGCAGGAUCCUGUGUGAAGUGUGAAACACUGACACAGCCAUCCUCCAUGACUGUUCAGCCUGGUCAACAUCUGACCAUCACCUGUCAGGUGUCUUAUUCUAUGUACAGCUAUCGAACACACUGGAUCAGACAGCCUGCAGGAAAAGGACUGGAGUGGAUCGGUGGAAAAUAUACUGGAGAUUCACAGGCGUACAUGUCAGAUUCAUUGAAGAACAAAUUCAGUAUCGACUUAGAUGCUUCAAACAGCAGAAUAACUCUGAAUGGACAGAAUAUGCAGCCUGAAGACACGGCUGUGUUUCAUUGUGCGAGACGCCACAAUAACACAAACCAUCAGCAAACCUGA